ACCAUUAACUGCCCAAACGCUCAACAAAUUGCCUGGGUAGGCUCGGAAUGACCCAUUAACUAGGGACAAAACUACAAAAAUUACGGGGAGGCUCUGCCUCUUCAAAUGGUUAACGACAGGCCUAACUGCCGAAGUCCCCAAAUCCGACCGUGUGGGACAGUUGUUUACUGGGAGCGAAGGCACAGAGGCUUUCCCUCGCUUUCCGACGAGGUGAAGGAGCCUCGGGGGGGUGGGGGGCACCUCACUGAGGGAUUUUCAGAGGCAGGAAAUUCUUGAAAUAAACCUCUGGGCCUCGCACAUGGUUUUCAGUGUCCUUACUACCUAGGUUUAUCGACCAGAACUCAAGAGCAAAUGGGCUCUAUGUCUCCCUUCCCCUCAACAUUCUCACGUGGUGUCACAACAGACUGUGACAUCGCGCCACCUCCACGGUAACGUGCCCACGUGACAGACAACACCCCACCCGAGCAGCCAAGCGCAAACCAACCAUGGGACACGAGAAGCCCGAUCGCCAGCACCCUGAACCCCUCACUUCAACGUGAGCAGAAGAGCCGGUCCGGUGCUGAGACCCGGAUGGGAACGCACCUACAGCCAGAAGUCAAUUUCUCCAAUGGAAAUGGAGAAAUCUGCACUUGGAAUGGGAGACAAAUCAAUAAAUGGGACUUCAUAUCCUGCUAAUGGCUGCACACUGCAGUUUGAAAACAUCGUAUAGGCCCCACGACAGCAUAUAGGAUAUUGUACAGUGUGGACACUUCUUCCUCCCACAACUGAUUUUACAUACCUAACAUCACCACUUCACAGCAGUUACGUUGUGAGUAUUUUGAGAGGAAGACUAAGACAAAUGGCCCACUGAACUGCAGUUACCUUUUCCUUAUCCCAACGUAAGUGAACGUUUUUUUCCCCCUAAGAAUGGAAAAAAACAAACAAAAAAAAAAAGGUAAACAGGACCUUUCAGAGGGGAAAAGGGCCGUGUGUUAAAAAGUUUUCUCGACCAAAGUACAUCAGGGACCAAAACUGGGGCCAAGAGGGAAAAUGGAACUUCAACGUGUUUUGUCUUUUAACGGAACUUAUGCUUGUAAAACACAUCGGAAGUACAAGUGUUUGGUUCUGCAAGUCA